ncrna:unclassified sequences S4-Flavobacteria ribosomal protein leader
AAUUAUCGAAGGAUAUAGACCUGAAUUCAUAAUU